rnacentral:rRNA from 1 species
AGAGUUUGAUCCUGGCUCAGGAUGAACGCUAGCUACAGGCUUAACACAUGCAAGUCGAGGGGAAACGAUAUUGGAAGCUUGCUUCCGAUAGGCGUCGACCGGCGCACGGGUGAGUAACGCGUAUCCAACCUGCCCACCACUUGGGGAUAACCCUGCGAAAGUAAGACUAAUACCCAAUGAUAUCUCUAGAAGACAUCUGAAAGAGAUUAAAGAUUUAUCGGUGAUGGAUGGGGAUGCGUCUGAUUAGCUUGUUGGCGGGGUAACGGCCCACCAAGGCAACGAUCAGUAGGGGUUCUGAGAGGUUGAACGGCCACAUUGGGACUGAGACACGGCCCAGACUCCUACGGGAGGCAGCAGUGGGGAAUAUUGCACAAUGGGGGAAACCCUGAUGCAGCGACGCCGCGUGGAGGAAGAAGGUCUUCGGAUUGUAAACUCCUGUUGUUGAGGAAGAUAAUGACGGUACUCAACAAGGAAGUGACGGCUAACUACGUGCCAGCAGCCGCGGUAAAACGUAGGUCACAAGCGUUGUCCGGAAUUACUGGGUGUAAAGGGAGCGCAGGCGGGAAGGCAAGUUGGAAGUGAAAUCCAUGGGCUCAACCCAUGAACUGCUUUCAAAACUGUUUUUCUUGAGUAGUGCAGAGGUAGGCGGAAUUCCCGGUGUAGCGGUGGAAUGCGUAGAUAUCGGGAGGAACACCAGUGGCGAAGGCGGCCUACUGGGCACCAACUGACGCUGAGGCUCGAAAGUGUGGGUAGCAAACAGGAUUAGAUACCCUGGUAGUCCACACUGUAAACGAUGAUUACUAGGUGUUGGAGGAUUGACUCCUUCAGUGCCGCAGUUAACACAAUAAGUAAUCCACCUGGGGAGUACGACCGCAAGGUUGAAACUCAAAGGAAUUGACGGGGGCCCGCACAAGCAGUGGAGUAUGUGGUUUAAUUCGACGCAACGCGAAGAACCUUACCAAGUCUUGACAUCCUGCGACGCACAUAGAAAUAUGUGUUUCCUUCGGGACGCAGAGACAGGUGGUGCAUGGUUGUCGUCAGCUCGUGUCGUGAGAUGUUGGGUUAAGUCCCGCAACGAGCGCAACCCUUAUGGUCAGUUACUACGCAAGAGGACUCUGGUCAGACUGCCGUUGACAAAACGGAGGAAGGUGGGGAUGACGUCAAAUCAUCAUGCCCUUUAUGACUUGGGCUACACACGUACUACAAUGGCGUUAAACAAAGAGAAGCAAGACCGCGAGGUGGAGCAAAACUCAGAAACAACGUCCCAGUUCGGACUGCAGGCUGCAACUCGCCUGCACGAAGUCGGAAUUGCUAGUAAUCGCAGAUCAGCAUGCUGCGGUGAAUACGUUCCCGGGCCUUGUACACACCGCCCGUCACACCAUGAGAGCCGGGGGGACCCGAAGUCGGUAGUCUAACCGCAAGGAGGACGCCGCCGAAGGUAAAACUGGUGAUUGGGGUGAAGUCGUAACAAGGUA